UGGGGAAUUUUGGACAAUGGGCGAAAGCCUGAUCCAGCAAUGCCGCGUGUGUGGAGAAGGCCUUCGGGUUGUAAAGCACUUUUGUCCGGAAAGAAAUCCUUGGCUCUAAUACAGUCGGGGGAUGACGGUACCGGAAGAAUAAGCACCGGCUAACUACGUGCCAGCAGCCGCGGUAAUACGUAGGGUGCAAGCGUUAAUCGGAAUUACUGGGCGUAAAGCGUGCGCAGGCGGUUUGCUAAGACCGAUGUGAAAUCCCCGGGCUCAACCUGGGAACUGCAUUGGUGACUGGCAGGCUAGAGUAUGGCAGAGGGGGGUAGAAUUCCACGUGUAGCAGUGAAAUGCGUAGAGAUGUGGAGGAAUACCGAUGGCGAAGGCAGCCCCCUGGGCCAAUACUGACGCUCAUGCACGAAAGCGUGGGGAGCAAACAGGAUUAGAUACCCUGGUAGUCCACGCCCUAAACGAUGUCAACUAGUUGUUGGGGAUUCAUUUCCUUAGUAACGUAGCUAACGCGUGAAGUUGACCGCCUGGGGAGUACGGUCGCAAGAUUAAAACUUAAAUGAAUUGACGGGGUCAUAGCUGUUUCCU
rnacentral:rRNA from 1 species